CAGCCGUAAACUAUGCGCGUUAGGUGUACUGGUGACCACGAGUCACCGGGGUGCCGAAGGGAAACCGUGAAACGUGCCGCCUGGGAAGUACGGUCGCAAGGCUGAAACUUAAAGGAAUUGGCGGGGAGCACCACAACGGGUGGAGCCUGCGGGUUUAAUUUGGACUCAACGCCGGAAAUCUCACCGGAUAGGACAGACAUAUGAUAGUCGGGCUGAAGACUCUACUUGAUGAUCUGAGAGGUGGUGCAUGGCGUCAGUGACU
rnacentral:rRNA from 1 species